AUGCCAUGGUGAAUUUUCUUAAAAACUCUUUAAACCUCUCCCAUGCAUCAGGAACAACUUCAUCGUCCAUUUGUUUAAAAAGACAGAUUUCAUUUUUGAACUU